GAUGAACGCUGGCGGCGUGCCUAAUACAUGCAAGUCGAGCGAACAGACGAGGAGCUUGCUCCUCUGACGUUAGCGGCGGACGGGUGAGUAACACGUGGAUAACCUACCUAUAAGACUGGGAUAACUUCGGGAAACCGGCGCUAAUACCGGAUAAUAUCUUGCACCGCAUGGUUCAAUAGUGAAAGACGGUUUUGCUGUCACUUCUCGAUGGAUCCGCGCCGCAUUAGCUAGUUGGUAAGGUAACGGCUUACCAAGGCAACGAUGCGUAGCCGACCUGAGAGGGUGAUCGGCCGCACUGGAACGGAGACACGGUCCAGACGCCUACGGGAGGCAGCAGGAGGGAAUCGUCCGCAAUGAGCGAAAGCCUGACGGCGCAACGCCGCGUGAGUGAUGAAGAUCUUCGGAUCGUAAAACUCUGUUAUUAGGGAGGAACAAAUGUGUAAGUAACUAUGCACGUCUUGACGGUACCUAAGCAGAGAGCCACGGCUAACUACGUG
rnacentral:rRNA from 1 species